GUUAUCUAUCAGAAAUGUUUUUUUAAAAACUUUUUUUAAAAUUUGAAUAAAUUGCACUGUUGUAGUCCUACAGCCCUGGUCAAUCCUGAUAUAUGCACCUCAAGUAGAAUCUAGAAUUGGUUUUCAGUAUUUGAUCCAGCUCCGACCUAAACCUAUCCUAGAUCCAGCUCCGAACUAAACCUAUCCUAGAUCCAGCACCGAUCUGAACCUAUCCUAGAUCCAGCUCCGACCUGAAUCUAUCCUAGAUUAAUCUCCGACCUAACCCCUUCCAUUACACUAGAAUUAGCUCCAACCUGAACCUAUCCUUUACACUAGAUCCAGCUCCGACCUGAACCUAUCCCAGAUCCAGCUCUGACCUGAACCACUUGAUCCUUCUCAGACCGGAAUCUGUCCUUAAUAUUUGAUCCAGCUCCGACCAAAACUACUUGAUCCAGCUUCGACCUUAAUUUAUUCAAAUCAAUCCAUCCACUAGAUCCCACCUUAACAUCAGUUACGAUGUUUUCGUUUUUCGAGUAGUUUGCUUUUACGAAACCCCAUCGAAUACGUGAUCCAGCUGCUAAGGCUUGAAACCGAACCAUGUGUGCACCAUUAGUGUGUCCUGAGGUAGAGAGAAUCACAAGGGUUGAGAAGGUUAGAGCAGCAAGAAAGAUUGUGAGAAAAUACAGGAAAAGAGAAGAACGAAGAGAAAUGAGAAAAUUAAGAAAACUGUUACCCAGGGGUGAGAAACUGAAAAAACAGGAAGUUAUAGAUGAAACCAUCAGUCUAAUAGUUGCUCUAGAAAAAAAGCUACUGGAGAAAAUUCAUCUUCAAGGGAUGGUUCCUCCGGUUCUUUCUCAUACUGGGCUUCAAGGAGAUAAUAUUAGUUUGGAUAAACUAAGAGAAGCAACAUUAUCUCUUCCUUUUAUCAACUCAUAAAUAUUAUUCAAGAAUAAAUACAUUUAGAAAAAUUUUA